rnacentral:rRNA from 1 species
AGACUGACGCUCAGGUGCGAAAGCGUGGGGAGCAAACAGGAUUUAGAUACCCCUGGUAGUCCACGCCGUAAACGAUGUCCGACUUGGAGGUUGUGCCCUUGAGGCGUGGCUUCCCGGAGCUAACGCGUUAAGUCGACCGCCUGGGGAGUACGGCCGCAAGGUUAAAACUCAAAUGAAUUGACGGGGGCCCGCACAAGCGGUGGAGCAUGUGGUUUAAUUCGAUGCAACGCGAAGAACCUUACCUGGUCUUGACAUCCACAGAACUUUCCAGAGAUGGAUUGGUGCCUUCGGGAACUGUGAGACAGGUGCUGCAUGGCUGUCGUCAGCUCGUGUUGUGAAAUGUUGGGUUAAGUCCCGCAACGAGCGCAACCCUUAUCCUUUGUUGCCAGCGGUCCGGCCGGGAACUCAAAGGAGACUGCCAGUGAUAAACUGGAGGAAGGUGGGGAUGACGUCAAGUCAUCAUGGCCCUUACGACCAGGGCUACACACGUGCUACAAUGGCGCAUACAAAGAGAAGCGACCUCGCGAGAGCAAGCGGACCUCAUAAAGUGCGUCGUAGUCCGGAUUGGAGUCUGCAACUCGACUCCAUGAAGUCGGAAUCGCUAGUAAUCGUGGAUCAGAAUGCCACGGUGAAUACGUUCCCGGGCCUUGUACACACCGCCCGUCACACCAUGGGAGUGGGUUGCAAAAGAAGU